AUCAAUUACACAUUAAUGAAAUCUCUACAAGAUACUCAACUUAAUAUCGUAAUAGGAUUGAUAAGUCCCCCAAAAAAUUUUUUUGAUGAUAGCCCUCCAACUACUAGAAAUAUGCAUCUAAUAUGACCCAUCUACCGGCUAACCCUAAUCCCUCACAUUGCUACAAAACAUGAUGAAUCUAUUAUUAAAGAUAAGCAAAGAAAAUAAUUACGAUUAAACAAACGCCUUACACGCUCAAGAGU